rnacentral:rRNA from 1 species
AGAGCGAACGCUGGCGGCAUGCUUAACACAUGCAAGUCGCACGGUUGGGUUUCGGCCUGGCAGUGGCGGACGGGUGAGUAUCGCGUAGGGAUUUAUCGUUGGGUGGGGAUAACCGCGGGAAACUGCGGCUAAUACCGCAUAAUACCUUCGGGUCAAAGGAGCAAUUCGCUUAAGGAGGGGGUCGCGGCCGAUUAGUUAGUUGGCGGGGUAAUGGCCCACAAGACUGUGAUCGGUAUCC